CGGGUGAGUAAUGCCUAGGGAACUGCCCAGUCGAGGGGGAUAACAGUUGGAAACGACUGCUAAUACCGCAUACGCCCUACGGGGGAAAAGAGGGGACCUUCGGGCCUUCUGCGAUUGGAUGUACCUAGGUGGGAUUAGCUAGUUGGUGAGGUAAUGGCUCACCAAGGCGACGAUCCCUAGCUGUUCUGAGAGGAUGAUCAGCCACACUGGGACUGAGACACGGCCCAGACUCCUACGGGAGGCAGCAGUGGGGAAUAUUGCACAAUGGGCGCAAGCCUGAUGCAGCCAUGCCGCGUGUGUGAAGAAGGCCUUCGGGUUGUAAAGCACUUUCAGCGAGGAGGAAAGCUUAAGCGUUAAUAGCGUUUAGGUGUGACGUUACUCGCAGAAGAAGGACCGGCUAACUUCGUGCCAGCAGCCGCGGUAAUACGAGGGGUCCAAGCGUUAAUCGGAAUUACUGGGCGUAAAGCGUACGCAGGCGGUUUGUUAAGCGAGAUGUGAAAGCCCCGGGCUCAACCUGGGAACUGCAUUUCGAACUGGCAGACUAGAGUCUUGUAGAGGGGGGUAGAAUUUCAGGUGUAGCGGUGAAAUGCGUAGAGAUCUGAAGGAAUACCGGUGGCGAAGGCGGCCCCCUGGACAAAGACUGACGCUCAUGUACGAAAGCGUGGGGGAGCAAACAGGAUUAGAUACCCUGGUAGUCCACGCCGUAAAACGAUGUCUACUCGG
rnacentral:rRNA from 1 species